rnacentral:rRNA from 1 species
CCUACGGGGGGCAGCAGUGGGGAAUAUUGGGCAAUGGGGGAAACCCUGACCCAGCAACGCCGCGUGAAGGAAGAAGGCUUUCGGGUUGUAAACUUCUUUUACCAGGGACGAAGAAAGUGACGGUACCUGGAGAAAAAGCUCCGGCUAACUACGUGCCAGCAGCCGCGGUAAUACGUAGGGAGCGAGCGUUGUCCGGAUUUACUGGGUGUAAAGGGCGUGUAGGCGGAGCUGCAAGUCAGAAGUGAAAUCUCCGGGCUCAACCCGGAAACUGCUUUUGAAACUGUAGCCCUUGAGUAUCGGAGAGG